AAUCUUGCGCAAUGGACGAAAGUCUGACGGAGCAACGCCGCGUGAGUGAUGAAGGGUUUCGGCUCGUAAAACUCUGUGGUUAAGGAAGAACACUUGAGGUAGUAAUUGUCAUUGAGAUGACGCUACUUAACAAGAAAGCCACGGUUAACUACGUGCCAGCAGACGCGGUAAUACGUAGGGGGUAAGCGUUAUCCGUAAUUAUUGGGCGUAAAGCGCGCGUAGGCGGUAAAAUAAUUCUGAUGUGAAAGCCCCCGGCUCAACCGGGGAGGAUCAUUAGAAACUGUUUUACUUGAGUACAGAAGAGGAGAGUAGAAUUCCAUGUGUAGCGGUGAAAUGCGCAGAGAUAUGGAGGAACACCAGUGGCGAAGGCGGCUCUCUGGUCUGUUACUGACGCUGAGGUGCGAAAGCGUGGGGAUCAAAC
rnacentral:rRNA from 1 species